rnacentral:rRNA from 1 species
UGGGGAAUAUUGCACAAUGGGGGAAACCCUGAUGCAGCGACGCCGCGUGAACGAAGAAGGUAUUCGUAUCGUAAAGUUCUGUCCUAUGGGAAGAUAAUGACAGUACCAUAGAAGAAAGCUCCGGCUAAAUACGUGCCAGCAGGCGCGGUAAUACGUAUGGAGCGAGCGUUGUCCGGAAUUAUUGGGCGUAAAGGGUACGCAGGCGGUUUAAUAAGUCGAAUGUUAAAGAUCGGGGCUCAACCCCGCAAAGCAUUGGAAACUGAUAAACUUGAGUAGUGGAGAGGAAAGUGGAAUUCCUAGUGUAGUGGUGAAAUACGUAGAUAUUAGGAGGAAUACCAGUAGCGAAGGCGACUUUCUGGACACAAACUGACGCUGAGGUACGAAAGCGUGGGGAGCAAACAGG